rnacentral:lncRNA from 1 species
AGUCAUCACCACCAGCAUCCCCUCCACCAGCGUCACCAUCGUCGUCCUCCCUGUCACUGCCAUCCCUAGCAGCUUCACACUCUUGAAGCGCAUGCUCCCUUGCAUGUCCGUGUUGCCCAGUACAGUGACCUACCAUUCUUUAUUAUUUAGGGCAUUUAAAGCCCUGUUGACCCACACCGUCUUGCCUCUGUCCUCGCUGAGAAUCCGGCCCUCCAGGGACCACUAGGAUAUAUCCGAGGGGAGGAGAGCAGGGCGUCACAGUCCUGUGGCCUGUCCGCAGUUCCUUGGUGAGGGCUGACCAGCAGCAGGCAGUGACUGAUCAGGCUGUGGUGGGAAGGCUGACGCUGGGGUGGGCAGAGGAGAUGACGGACAGAAGAAACAGGGAGUUGGCUCGUGUGGAUUUUCCACCGUGGGGUCGAGUGUGCUCACUUGCUUUGGGGGACAGCGGAGAUGGGGAGAGUGAGAGGGGGCGGGAAGGGGGGACUGGUGCAGAGCAUGCAGCCCCGGAAGGUGGCCCCCUCCUCCCGCCUGCUCCCAGGAAGUGGCCGCAGGGUCUCCUCCAAAUUCCCAGCUGGCUUCUGGACGGGACGUGAAUGGCAUCCCUGUACCAUCUGCUUUGCCUUUCAUGAAAGCCUGAGCUCGUGCUCUCAUGUCAGCGGCCUGCUCCACGCCAUCGCGUUCUCCUAGGAAAAUAAACAGCACAAAGCGAAGCUGAGCUCGCCAUCACUGUGUCUCUGUCGCAUCAUUUCUCUGCCAUGUGCCUUGCACGCGCUGCUUUGCCAUUUCACGCCCGCGGUGGGUGUGGCCUGGGCUGCCGGGGCUGUGGCGAGCGGGGAUCGUGGUGGAAGCGGGCGGAAGAGGCAUCUUGCUCGAGUGUCCAGGGCCUGUUGGGCUGUGUCCAGGGCUGCUCACCCAGAAGGAAGGACCUUCUCAGGACAGCCCGGCCAGCGGCUGGCUCCCAGCCCCCAUCUGGCUGUGUACACCGGAACCUGCGCGCCCCCCUCUCCCUCCAGCCCCUUCUCCCAAAGCUGCCGCUCCCCUGGAAGGCCCUUCCGCUCGCCCAGCCGCUUCAUCCGGAGGCCCAGCAGCACCGUCUGUCCCUCACCCAUCAGCGUGGCCCUGGAGGGCUCCCCGGGGUCCGAGCAGAGGCGGGAGACCGAUGUGUCAGGGGCGGUCGGCGGGGCCUGCAUGGAUCAGCUCCGGCCCCGGGCCCAGCCCAAGGCGCGUGUGCGCCUGUCCCUCGGGCGGUUCCUGAGACGAGGCUGUUUGGCUUCCCCGGUCUUCGCCCGGCUGUCCCCAAAGUGUCCCGCUGUGUCCCACGGCAAGGUGCAGCCCCUGGGGGAUGCCAGCCGGCAGCUAUCACGACCGAGGCCCCGGAGAGCAGCCAAGUAAGGAUGGAGGGGGCAGUGUGUGUGUGUGUGUGUGCACGCGUGCUCAUGGGGAGUGUGUGCACGCACAUGGGGAUUGUGUGUACACGGGGAUUGUGUGUGUGUGCACGAGAUUGUGUGUGUGUGCACAUGGGGAUUCUGUGUGCACACAUGGAGAAUGUGUGUGUACACGGGGAUUGUGUGCAUGUGUGCACACGGGGAUUGUGUGUAUGUGCACAUGGGGAUUGUGUGUAUGUGCACACGGGAUUGUGUGUGUAUGUGCACACAGGAUUGUGUGUAUGUGUGCACACGGGGAUUGUGUGUGUGUGAACAUGGGGAGUGUGUGUGUGAACAUGGGGAGUGUGUGCGUGCACAUGGGAUUGUGUGUGCACACGGGGAUUAUGUGUGCACACGGGGAUUGUGUGUGCACAUGGGGAUUGUGUGUGUGUGCACAUGGGAUUGUGUGUGUGUGCACAUGGGGAGUGUGUGUGUGCACAUGGGAUUGUGUGUGUGCGCACGGGGAUUAUGUGUGCACAUGGGGAGUGUGUGUGUGUGCACAUGGGAUUGUGUGUGUGCACACGGGGAUUAUGUGUGCACAUGGGGAGUGUGUGUGUGUGCACAGAUUGUGUGCGUGUGCACAUGGGGAUUGUGUGUGUGUGUGUGCACAUGAGGAGUGUGUGUGUGUGUGUGCGCACACAGGAUUGUGUGUAUGUGUGCACACGGGUGUCUGGUGAGGACCCAGGUUCUGUGGUCUGGGGUCUAGGGCCUGGGGGCUGGGCAGAUGGAGGGUGGAGAGUGCCGGGUGAGGAGGAGGAUUCUGGAAAGCAGACCCCAUGGACAAACCUUUGACCUCCAGACCCUUUCCAGACUCAGCGCUGCCCUCUGCGGUCUUUCUAGGGGAAAGGAAAGUGAAGUGACGUUUAAGUAAUUCAGCUGAGUCCGACUCUUUUCAUCCCCUUGGACUAUACAGUCCAUGGGAUUGUUUUUCUUUUCCAUCUUUCCCCCUUUCUAUUAACAUGCUCUUCCAGGCUUCUCUGGUGGCUCAGUGGUAAAGAAUCCACCCGCAAUGCAGGAGACCCAGGUUCGAUCCCUGGAGGAGGGAAUGGCUACCUGCUCCAGUAUUCCAGCCUGGAGAAUUCCAUGGACUGAGGGGCCUGGUGGGCUACAGUCCACGGAGUCUCAAAGAGUCAGAAAUGACUUAGUAACUAAACAACAACACAAUCCUCUUCCACUCACCCUGCCCAACUAAAACCUUGGCCUAAUGAGUUUGUUGCAUUUUUAAAAGGUCCGGAAAUUUCAGUGGCAGUGCUGGGACCCACAGGUGGUGCUGGGCCCCGGUCCCCUCCCCUGCCUUGGGGGCCCUCUCCUCCCCCACCCGCUCCUGCACACAUCUGCCCUGGGGAGCACUCAGGGGGGCUACAGGGUGCUGACAGUGUACAGCCUCCAUUCAGGGCUGGCCCCUGUUAUCCCCACUAUGGGCGGCAAAGCAAGACGGACCUCUGAGAGCCCCCUGCCCGAGGCAGCUCUCUGGUGAAGAACAGGGGCUCCGGGGUGCACUUGAGGGCUCCGGGCUCCUGGGCACAAAGAAGAGUUAUGGACAGUGCAACACAAAGGCAGCCCCGCCUUUGUUUGGUCUUGAGGGAGACAGCGCGGAGCACCCCUCCACCCUCUGCUAUGCUCCUGCGUUUUGGCCAUGCGUGGUCUUGGACACGGCGGCUCCGUGCUGAGGCUGUAGGUUGCCAUGGAUACCCAAGUCUCCAGCCUUGGCUGUGCUCUGUGCAUCUGGGGUGGGGGGAUUCAGGGGGAAAGAACUUGUCCGUUGAUUCCUCCUGAUGGGCUCUGCUGAGGGAACGCUCUAGUUUGUGGCCACAGCGGUCUUGGGGCUUUUGAAAACCUCUGUGCUCCAUGGCCACCACUUCAUUAGAAGGCAGUUUAAAGGGGCUGAGGCCUGGGUCCCGGUAUGUUCUACAGGAAUAUCUGGAAUUCAUCAAAACCGAAAAAACUGAAGCCCCUUGAAAAGGGAAAUAAAGCGUUCCCUGAAUUAUCCUUCGUUCA